rnacentral:rRNA from 1 species
UACGUAGGUGGCAAGCGUUGUCCGGAUUUACUGGGCGUAAAGAGCGCGCAGGCGGUCGUUCAAGUCGAGUGUGAAAGCCCCCCGGCUCAACUGGGGAGGGUCAUUCGAUACUGAUCGACUCGAAGGCAGGAGAGGGUAGUGGAAUUCCCGGUGUAGUGGUGAAAUGCGUAGAGAUCGGGGGGAACACCCGUGGCGAAGGCGGCCAGCUGGGCCGACCCUGACACUGAGGCGCGAAGGCGUGGGGAGCGAACGGG